GAUGAACGCUGGCGGCGUGCCUAAUACAUGCAAGUCGAGCGAACAGACGAGGAGCUUGCUCCUCUGACGUUAGCGGCGGACGGGUGAGUAACACGUGGAUAACCUACCUAUAAGACUGGGAUAACUUCGGGAAACCGGAGCUAAUACCGGAUAAUAUAUUUAACCGCAUGGUUCAAUAGUGAAAGACGGUUUUGCUGUCACUUAUAGAUGGAUCCGCGCCGCAUUAGCUAGUUGGUAAGGUAACGGCUUACCAAGGCAACGAUGCGUAGCCGACCUGAGAGGGUGAUCGGCCACACUGGAACUGAGACACGGUCCAGACUCCUACGGGAGGCAGCAGUAGGGAAUCUUCCGCAAGGGGCGAAAGCCUGACGGAGCAACGCCGCGUGAGUGAUGAAGGUCUUCGGAUCGUAAAACUCUGUUAUUAGGGAAGAACAAAUGUGUAAGUAACUAUGCACGUCUUGACGGUACCUAAUCAGAAAGCCACGGCUAACUACGUG
rnacentral:rRNA from 1 species